AAUUCAGCCGACUUUCUUAUUAGAGAAACAGUUAGGAAUGAUCACUGUGUUAUGACAUAUUUGACACUUAACUCACACUAUUUUCAACAAUAUUCAGUGUUGAACUCGUUUUCCACAUAACUCACUAUGUCUAUCGUGCCGUUAAAAAUUUUGAACCGGGAGGGUCAUUUUCGUCCAAUAAAAUUGUGAAAGACUGAAAGUAUAGUUUUGUUGAGCUAGAAAGGGAGUGAGAGUGAGAGUGAGAGUGAGAGUGAGAGCGAGAGCGAGGGGAGGAGGAGAAAAUCUAAAAACUUUGAUCGAGCAGCGAUGUCAGAUUCGCCGAAGAUGUGGAGAUAUUUGAGAAUUGAUGGAGGGCCACCAACAAAGCAUGCAUGGAAAGAACACCGUCAAAUGUUGCAAGUGCUUCAUCUCAACCGGUGAUCUCUUCACCAUCUCUGACUCAAGGGAAGUUAAUGAAGACCAAGUCAGUAGCACAUAAGGGUAAACCCAUGCCUAAACCUGUGACAAGAACUAG